rnacentral:lncRNA from 1 species
UUAAUUAUUUUAAAUUUCGUGAUUGCGACGACUUAAUUGAGUAAAUAGAUGCACUAAACGAGGUACUGUACUCUGCUGAAAUGAAAAUUUUAUUGAAAAAAGAUGUUUGGAAAAAUCUUGAAAGCACAGGCGCAAACAAGGAGAUGAGCCUCAAAAAAAGAAAGCCCAAAAAAACGGAAAAAAAACAACUAAACCCUUGCAAAAAGGGAGCAAACAACGCAAAGGAAAGCAACAACCAAAACAACACAAGGAAGAGCAAGCCACCCCUCCGACCAAGGCUGCACAGAGCAGAGCAGCAGAGCCAGAGCAAACUUCACUAGAGCAAAAGUGCCAGAGCAAACAAC